rnacentral:tRNA from 1 species
AGGGGAAAUAAUAAGGUUACUGCUAAUAAUCUUUCGUCGGUUAAAUCCGACUUCUCCUU